rnacentral:rRNA from 1 species
AGUGAACGCUGGCGGCAGGCCUAACACAUGCAAGUCGAGCGGCAGCGCGUCCGACCACCCUCGGGUGGUCGGAUGGCGGCGAGCGGCGGACGGGUGAGGAAUGCAUCGGAAUCUGCCUCGUUGUGGGGGAUAACGUAGGGAAACUUACGCUAAUACCGCAUACGACCUACGGGUGAAAGUGGGGGACCUUCGGGCCUCACGCGAUGAGAUGAGCCGAUGCCGGAUUAGCUAGUUGGCGGGGGUAAAGGCCCGACCAAGGCGACGAUCCGUAGCUGGUCUGAGAGGAUGAUCAGCCACACUGGAACUGAGACACGGUCCAGACUCCUACGGGAGGCAGCAGUGGGGAAUAUUGGACAAUGGGGGGCAACCCUGAUCCAGCCAUGCCGCGUGUGUGAAGAAGGCCUUCGGUUGU